rnacentral:rRNA from 1 species
AACGAACGCUGGCGGCAUGCCUAACACAUGCAAGUCGAACGAAGGCUUCGGCCUUAGUGGCGCACGGGUGCGUAACGCGUGGGAAUCUGCCCUUAGGUUCGGAAUAACAGUUAGAAAUGACUGCUAAUACCGGAUGAUGACGUAAGUCCAAAGAUUUAUCGCCUGAGGAUGAGCCCGCGUAGGAUUAGCUAGUUGGUGUGGUAAAGGCGCACCAAGGCGACGAUCCUUAGCUGGUCUGAGAGGAUGAUCAGCCACACUGGGACUGAGACACGGCCCAGACUCCUACGGGAGGCAGCAGUGGGGAAUAUUGGACAAUGGGCGAAAGCCUGAUCCAGCAAUGCCGCGUGAGUGAUGAAGGCCUUAGGGUUGUAAAGCUCUUUUACCCGUGAUGAUAAUGACAGUAGCGGGAGAAUAAGCCCCGGCUAACUCCGUG